UUUGAUUAUUCGUAAAUCGCCGCUCUUCCCUCCCUCCUGUUUUCUCUCUCUUUCUCUCUCGCUAUAACUUUCUUCACAGUUAGGGUUUCGUUUCCUUUACUUCAAAACCAAAAGCAGAGAGGGCUUCACCGACAGGAUCGAUUGCACCUGUGAUUAAUGCCGGGUGGAUACCAUGCUUGUAAUUCGUUACCUUCAUGUGGCUAAGAUUGACGAUGGUGAUGAUAAAGGUGAUGAAGAUGAUGACCAUGAGUGUGAUGCAUAUGUGGUGAUCCGAUUUUAGAAGGCAUCAUCUGAUUGCAUUUCCUCUGAAUAAAUUCAUUUUAAGAAGAUGGGUUGACUGAUUUUACUUAGUUUGGACAAAUGGCUAUUGCUGGUCUACACAACGUUUCUGUGCUUGAUUCUGCAUUCCUUAGGGACUCUCAUUCUCAAGCAUCAGCCCAGCAAGGUAACGAAGGGAGGGUCAGAACCCAAGGAUCCUCGCUCCUGCAGAUGUGGCGUGAGCUUGAGGAUGAGCAUGCGGUGAGUCGUGCCCAACAAGAAAGACUGGUCCAACAUAGGAGUGAUAGGUUGAUUACUGACCUCUCAAGGGGACACGUUUCUGAUAGUGAUAGUAAUGAACAAAGGGGUGACUGGGAGGUCAUGAGUAUGAGUGGGAGCGAGUAUGGAACACUGUCUCAAUCUCAAAUUGACUUACAGAAUGAACAUGUUGAUUCUAGAAAUUUUAACUGUGAACGAUCUUCUGAUUUUGGGGAAGUUGAAAGGGAGAGGGUGAGGCAGAUUUUUCGGGAAUGGAUGAACAGUGGUGUGAGGGAACGUGCAUCAAAUGUUCCCCAUAUGAGCAACAGCCACAGGGCAGAGUGGCUUGGUGAAACUGAGCAGGAGAGGGUGAGAAUCAUAAGGGAGUGGGUACAAAUGAAUAGUAGCCAGCAGAGAGAUGCUUCUGUUGACAGUAGAGAAGAGCAAGCUGCUGACGUUGAUACUCAAAUUGAACGAAUUCGGGAUGGAUUUCUUGUUAACCAGAAUGGAGGCCAAAAUGAGCAUUCCCGGAGGGGCAUUCGUCGAUUAUGUGGCAGACAGGCCUUGCUUGAUAUGCUAAAGAAGGCUGAGAGGGAAAGGCAGACUGAGCUUCAAGGUUUGUUGGAGCAUCGGGCAGUAUCACAAUUCGCUCAUCGCAACCGCAUCCAGUCAUUGCUUAGAGGCAGGUUUUUGCGAAAUGGCCGAUCGGUUGACAAUGAGAGAUCUGCUUCCCUGGCAGAAAGUGAACUAGGCUUAUUGAGGCAAAGGAAUACUGUAUCCGGUCUGAGGGAAGGAUUUUGCUCCAGAUUGGACAAUUCUGUAUGUGGUCAAGUAAGCAGCAACCAUUCUGAUACCUCAUCUAACAGUGAAGUUGAUGCCAAUAGUAAUGAUCAAACUCGAGCAAACAAUGCACAGGAUGCUCUAGAUGAACUUAGUGAACAAUCUGAACCUAAUAAUGUGGAGAGUAAUAGCCACAGGUUAUCAGAUGGUAGCAAUGAUUUAGGGGAUAAUUCUGUUGAAGAUAUUCGAUGGCAAGGGUCUAGUUCUCAUGAAGAGGAGUGGCAGGAACAACUUUCAGAGAAUGAAGUAUCCCUUCAAAGCGGAGAUGGUACUGGGCAAAGCUUGAAUGGAAACUCUCUGGAAACUACUGCUAGUGAGUGGUCAGAAGCUUUGCUCAAUGAAUCAGGAGAACAUAGUAAUAUGCAAGAAGCUGGUGAAGAAAUUAAUAGACAAUCUGAGCCAAUUAUUGAGGAAAGUUCUAUCCAUGAUUUAUCCGAUCAUACUGAUCAUUUGGAUGUAAUUUGGCUAGAAUCUGCUGCUCAGGCAGAACAAGUUAUGGAAACUGGGGAAAGAGACUCACAACUAGCGAAUGUUGAAUAUAACGAAUGGAGUGACGGAAUUACAGAUUAUAUGGAUGAAAACCGGCUGGGAAUUACUUCUAACCACCAAGAGUUGGGGAAUGAAGAUAUGGAACAGGCUCAUCUGCAAGAAGUGCCAGAAGAGUGGCACGAGGAUAAUGGUUUUCAAGAGGCUGUGGAACAUUGGUUAGAAGGUCCUUCUGAUCAGGAAGCUGUUCCAGUUAGAGGGGUUGAUACAUUUUAUUUUCCUGAUGAUGAUAAUGUUUACAAUGUGGAACUCAGAGAACUCCUAAACAGGAGAAGAGUUUCUAAUCUUCUUCACAGUGGUUUCCGUGAGAAUCUUAACCAGUUGAUACAAUCAUAUCUGGAGAGACGGGAAAGUAAUGCUCCUGUUGACUGGGAACUGCCUGGAACAUCACCUUCUCGUUUGUCAGAAGAACAGGAUCCUGGGCAUCAGCGUGGGAAUCAGAAUGACAAUCAGAGGGAGGCUGUUGAGAGUCCUCGACAUGCUUUACCUUCCUCACCACCACCACCUUCUCAGUCACUCUAUUAUCCUGAGUUGCACCAUGAAAACUGGCCGCAGCAUGACAUGCAUCAACGUCUAGGAUUUGAGUGGGAGAUCAUUAACGAUUUGCGAAUUGACAUGGCUAGGCUACAGCAGAGGAUGAAUAACAUGCAGAGGAUGCUGGAGGCAUGCAUGGAUAUGCAACUUGAGUUGCAGCGCUCGAUAAGACAAGAAGUGUCUGCUGCCCUGAAUCGAUCCAUGCUAGGAAUUUCUGGGGAUAGUUUGCCAAAAGAUGAGCCUCAAUGGGAUCAUGUGAGGAAAGGAAUCUGCUGUAUAUGUUGUGAAAGCAAUAUAGAUUCUUUACUGUACAGAUGUGGACACAUGUGCACAUGUUCAAAAUGUGCAAAUGAGUUGGUCCAAAGUAGAGGAAAAUGUCCAAUGUGUCGGGCACCCAUAGUUGAGGUGAUCCGUGCCUACUCCAUUGCAUGAUCUGGAGUAAUUAAGAAAUCAAAGUUGGAUUAACAAAAAAUAGAGUUUCAAUUUCAGUUCUUGCCCCUGGACCUCUCCAGCCGUGGAAGUUGUUGUGUUUUAUCAGGCUGUUCUGUGGAAGAAGGGAAAAAUGAUUGCUUUAAAGUAGCAGGCUCCAUUCUCAUUUUCCACAAAGGAACUUUCUUUCUGGUCUGAUGUGGAGAGUAAAUGGAAGUGACAAGUUUGACAGAUUGGCUUCUCCAACUGAAAUGUAGGUUUGGUUGAUACUAACCCCCUUUUUUUUGUUUUUUGGUUUUUAAUUGUUGAUAAGUAGGUUCUAGGUUUGGAAUCA